CUUUACAGUUUUCAUGAUACUGUGGAUACAACAGGAGUCACAAUGAAAUACUAGAGAACUAGAGAUACAUCAAACUUCUAAUCUACUGUUGGUUCUUUUCGUCUUGUGUUCUCAUGGACACAAGUCAGGAGCAGCCCCUACAAAUGCUCGAAACACGCGUGAUCAUGAACUCCGUGAUUCGAAGGCAUUGCUCAAACUGCUGCCUUGUGCAGAGUGACUGUUUUCAGCCUUCCUGGUGUCGCUCAUUCCUAACAUUUUUUUUCUUUUCUAAACCAACCAAUGGAGAAGGUCCUUUUGUUUCUCUUGCAGUGCAAACAAGGGAAAUGCUUGUUUAGGUGUAACUUUCUAACUAGAUGUAUAGGUUUGCACCAUGUUCUCUUCUCAACCUAUCCAGCCGCUGGAGGUCACCAUAGUUAUAUAUAGGCGAUCGAGAACAAAUGUGCACAGAUAAUGACAUGUAUAUUCUCUCCCUCUCGCCUUUGAAAGAGUAGGUGAGCACAAAUGAAUAUAUGAUCUCCUGACAACAAUGAAUACGAGAGCAAGUAUUGUUAUUGUUUUUUGACAGGGAUACGGGAGCAAGUAGAAGUAGG
rnacentral:lncRNA from 1 species